rnacentral:sRNA from 1 species
GCUGGGCAUAGUGGCACAUGCAUGUAAUCCCAUCGACUUGGGAGGCUGAGUCAGGAGGAUGGCAAGUUUGAGGCCAGUUUCAACAAUUUAAUGGGGUUCUAAACACAUAGUGAGAUCCUGUCUCAA